UGGGGAAUUUUGGACAAUGGGCGCAAGCCUGAUCCAGCAAUGCCGCGUGCAGGAUGAAGGCCUUCGGGUUGUAAACUGCUUUUGUACGGAGCGAAACGGCUUCUUCUAAUACAGGGAGCUAAUGACGGUACCGUAAGAAUAAGCACCGGCUAACUACGUGCCAGCAGCCGCGGUAAUACGUAGGGUGCGAGCGUUAAUCGGAAUUACUGGGCGUAAAGCGUGCGCAGGCGGUUAUAUAAGACAGAUGUGAAAUCCCCGGGCUCAACCUGGGACCUGCAUUUGUGACUGUAUAGCUAGAGUACGGUAGAGGGGGAUGGAAUUCCGCGUGUAGCAGUGAAAUGCGUAGAUAUGCGGAGGAACACCGAUGGCGAAGGCAAUCCCCUGGACCUGUACUGACGCUGAGGUGCGAAAGCGUGGGGAGCAAACAGGAUUAGAUACCCAUGUAGUCCCUGAGCGGGCUGGCAAGGCGCAU
rnacentral:rRNA from 1 species